UACAUUACUGAAAUGCUCAGCUGGAUUCAA
rnacentral:piRNA from 1 species